CCUGCAAAAACAACAAGACAUUAUUAUACGAACUAUAGGUGAAAGUAAACGAUUAAAUCAUAACACGUCGGGAUGAGACGACGUAAGCCGUCAUGUGAUUCAAGCACGCCGUGUUUGGCUAAUUGACCAUAUGUGAAUUCGUGAUUGGAUAUUGUUACUGACUUUAUUCAGGAACGUUUGUUUCCGGUAAUUUGGUCCCAUCGGCAAAAUCUGGCGGCGUGGUUACGCAACUUUUCCAUUACAACACACGUAACAUUUGAGGUGUUUGACCUAACCUAACCUGAAUUUUCUUCAUCACUAUUUGAGACAAUGAAGUUCUCCUUGAGCUUGCAUUUCAGAGGUUUGCCCACGGCUAAAGACCCGUGUGACGUCACAUCCGUGACGUCUCCCGAGGUUAGGUGUGCGGCGCAGGCGGCGAGAGCGGUUCAGUCGACAGCGAGCAGCGGCAGGGGUCAGAUCGGGAGCGGCAGCGGGAGGCGAGGCGAAGCGAGGUGAGUCGGUUUAUUUAAAUUAUUGUGUAUUGUGCGGUUUCGUUCAAUUUAUUCAGUUUGUUACUUGCCGUUGUCGCGAACGGACGUGUGCUCAAGCAAAUCUAAAUUUUCCGGUUUAAAUUUUAAAUUCGGUGACUAGUGAUCGCGUUUGAGUGACACAUUUUAAAUUCAGUAACUAUAAGUAAAAUCAAAGACUCAAAUAAUUUAUUGCCACGUAAUAAUUUUGUCUUUAAUUUUAAUGAAUGAAAGUGGCUUGCUCUAAAUUUAAUGCGAAUAAAGCUUUUUUAUUGGUUUUAUUUUUAUUAUUAUUUCAUUAAUGCUACAAACGGUAGCCAACGUGGAAGCGAUCUGAAGGUAGGUGUAUUUUAUUGUUGUAUCGUAUUUAUUUAUUUCACAAACCAAUAAUUCCUCAAAAUUUAAUUGCAAUUACAAUGUUGUGUACACCGGCUCUAAAUGCGGUGUUGAAAAGUCAUAAAUUGAGUGACACGUUUAAAAUCAAACACUCAAAUAAUUUAUCGUCGCGUACUGAUUUUGUCGUUAAUUUCAUUCGAUGAAAGUAAAGUCACUUGCUCAAAAUUUAAAGCAAACAUUUUUUUUCGGUUUCAUUUUUGUUAUUAUUUUUAUUUAUGCUACAAACGGUAGCCAACGUGGAAGCGAUAUGCAGGUACGUCCAUUUUAUUUUUGUGUCGUAUUUGUUUAUUUCACAAACCAAUAAUUCCUCAAAAUUUAAUUGCAAUUACAAUGUUGUGUACACCGGCUCUAAAUGCGGUGUUGAAAAGUGAUAAAUUGAGUGACACGUUUAAAAUCAAACACUCAAAUAAUUUAUCGUCGCGUACUGAUUUUGUCGUUAAUUUCAUUCGAUGAAAGUAAAGUCACUUGCUCAAAAUUUAAAGCAAACAUUUUUUUCGGUUUCAUUUUUGUUAUUAUUUUUAUUUAUGCUACAAACGGUAGCCAACGUGGAAGCGAUAUGCAGGUACGUCCAUUUUAUUUUUGUGUCGUAUUUGUUUAUUUCACAAACCAAUAAUUCCUCAAAAUUUAAUUGCAAUUACAAUGUUGUGUACACCGGCUCUAAAUGCGGUGUUGAAAAGUGAUAAAUUGAGUGACACGUUUAAAAUCAAACACUCAAAUAAUUUAUCGUCGCGUACUGAUUUUGUCGUUAAUUUCAUUCGAUGAAAGUAAAGUCACUUGCUCAAAAUUUAAUGCAAACAUUUUUUUUCGGGUUCAUUUUUGUUAUUAUUUUUAUUUAUGCUACAAACGGUAGCCAACGUGGAAGCGAUAUGAAGGUAGGUGCAUUUAUCUACUGAGGUGUUGAAAUUAAUGAUUUGAGUGCCAUUAUAUAUUGAAACGUAUUGUGUAUUCUUUAUUUUGUUUAAUAUUGACAAAAGUCGCUUGUUGUAACUUUUAUGCAAAUAAAGAUUUUUUAAUGGUGUUGUUUUUAUUUUUUUUAUGUUUUGCUACAAACAGUAGCCAACGCAGAAGCUAUAUAAAGUUAGGUGCAUUGUAUUAUAUUUGUGUUGUAUUUUUUAUAUCACAAACCAAUAAUUCCUUUAUUCCCUUUUAUUUUCUAAUAAUCAUUGUUUACCUCAUCCUUAUUUCCUUUUUUCCUGGCAAGAAUGCUCUAAACCUCCACGUGGUUCUUGCUGGACAAAUUAGAUAUUAACUAAUUAGUUAUUAACUAAUUUGACCAAUUAGAGCAAUCCUUAAAAUGUAAUAAGUAUUGCUGAUUGUUUUUUACAGCUGUAAAAUUAUGUCUCUUGUUGUAAUUUUUCUGCAAAUAAAGAUUUUUAU